ensembl:misc_RNA
GAGAGACAACAGAUUUACAUCCCAGACACAUUCACGCUGGGCCAAGAGCAGCUGCCAUUGCAGAUUCGAGUCAUGUACAUUUCUCCCUCCUCCUUCCUGGAGUUGGAACAGAAGCUGGGGAGGUGAGAGUGCAG